GUAGGAGAGAAAGGAGAGGAGGAAGAAGCAGAGAAGAGAAAGAGAGAGAAAGAAAAAGGAGGAGAGAACAAGAAGUCUCCAUUAAAUGUGAUGGACCAGGAACACAUGGCCGAGUGAAAUGCCCCCUGUGGACAGACUGAUAGAGCACAAAUGACCCAGAUCCCUGGAUGACCCACUGACCUGAUCACCAGUGACCUUGAAUCUACUCACAUUCUUACCUUGUUCUACUUUCUCAUCAAAGAGCCGAAAUGGCUAAAAAGAGAAGCAAACAGCAUCACCACUCAUCGAAUGACGCAAAUGAUGAAGGCUAAAGGAAGCAUCACCACUCAUCGAAUGAUGCAAAUGAUGAAGGCUAAAGGAAGCAUCGCCACUCAUGAUGCAAAUGAUUCUUUGGAUGAAGGCUAAAAGAACAAAACGCUUCAAAGCAAAACGCUGUCUCUUGAGCCGUUCCCAGCAUUGACACCACUUCCACAGGGAAGAUGUUUCCAUGCUGUGCCUUCGCUUCCUUGAGCAACCACAGGGAGAGGAUUGAGGACUUGCACCAGUGUCUCUUCUAGCCUUCCCUGCUGCAGCCCCGGUGAGGGAAUUUGAAGUCUGGAGCUGGUGUUGUCACACUGCGGUGAGACGCUGAUUGAGCUUGUAAAUGUGCAGAUGGACCUGUUCUUAUCUCGGAAUAGAACUUACAGUGUUUACCUGCAUACUACCUUUCUCUGCAGAGCUGCCAUUUUGGUAGUAACAGUCCUUUCCUGUACAGUGUCACCAUCCCCUUCCUAAGGAGACACCACUGAAACACGUUAUCUUGAAGACUACAGAGGACCUGGAAGAAUGUGCUUUAUAAACACAACCAAGGUCAACAUCAGACUGACUCCCACCAACCACUAAACACUGAUUACAGUCACUCAGUGCAUUGGAGUAGACUAGAUGAGGGAAGCAGGGAGAAUGGGCCAUAACAAUGCUUGCCAUCGGAGAUCAAGAGAAGAGUGCCCAGUGCCUGGUCCCGGAAGAUACUUUUGCAGCAUAGUUAUCUUGUUUGAUUCAUGAUGCAGAAUGUAGGGAAGAAAGAAAUGUGACUUAAGAGUGUGGCAGCCCCUCCUUUUCCACAUAUCGUACAUCAUGUGUCACAUUUGUAUCAAUGAAAGUCAGAGUUAAAAUGUAUCUCAGGAGCCAGUUAGCACAGCUUGGUUUUCCCUGAGUUUAUUAUUCUUGUCUGAUGUAUAUGAAUCCCUUAAGGCUAUAUGGCUGUGGUUUGAUGGUCAUGGCUUGGUUCUGGAACAGGAUAGAUUAAACAGCACUGCUCCAGAGAAAUGGUUCAAUCACUACUCUUCAACCAUUUGUCCAACACACAGGCUGAGUGACAGCUGUCCGUCGGUCCCUGUGCCACUGAUUUCCAGGGAUAUCAAAACAAAUGAGUCCAGGACUCUGCCAAAGAAAACAUAGUCCCAGCACUGUAGCCUCAGACAUAAAUGUCUAACUCUGAUGUCCCACAGUUGUUAGGAAUGGACGAGUGUUGGUGAAGUGGGAAUGCAGAGAAAGUAAUAGACAGGAGUGGGGGCAACACAGUUAGCAUUUGAAAAUGGACGGAUUCUGAUUUGUUAGAGAAGAGAGAGAAAAAGGAAUGGCAGUCCAGGCAAGAGACAAAGACACAUGGAGAGCUGACAGAAGAAUAAAUAGUUUGAUCAUGUUUGAAGUGAUCCAGGAAGACGGAAACAACAUUUGCCAUUUAACCCCAGCUUAGCUGGUCAUGGACAGCCAUUGCACAGGUGGUGCUGUGUGGCCACUGGGUAUCCGUUUCUUUCUUUUAGACCUGAGCUGGAAGUGGCACUUCAGAAUCAGGACCCAAGCUAUGUAAACAGCUGCACAGGCUUCACAAUAACCUUGUUUCCCCAUAGUUAGGUAAACAGGAGCCAAUUCCAUGAUACAUUAUCAAAAGCAAAGACAGCUGGCAACAGCCACCCUCUCCAAACACAGAGACUUUUGACAUUUCAGAAGAAUAGAAAGUACCACUUUUCCUAAACAGAUAUUCUCCAUGUUGGAGGCUAUUGUGUUACCGAACUUUUUUUUAUACCCCAUUAGAAACUGUAUCUGCAGCCCAGGUCUGCCCAUUGAUUUCCAUAAAGCAUACAGACAGAGCCCCACAGUUCCAUUUGACGAUGAACUUUUAAGAGUUUAAGCUGAUGUUGAAGUCACAAAAGAGCUCCCCCGACCCCCUCCCAAACCCAAUACUCAAUCAAGUCAGACAGCUAAGCAUAAGUAGCAGCAGCUUCAACUUCUCACCCUUGGAGAGCCGUAAAACAUACGAUGGCUUUUAAGGACAAGAUGCAAGUGGAAAAGCAGAAGAAUAAAACCUCCUAACACUUCUUUGAGACACUUGGGAGCAAUUGGCAUCGUGUUUUUGUGUUCACAUGUUCUCUGUGAAAACAUACUUAGCAAAAAUGCCUGAGAGUGGAAGCUGAGAAGAACUAUUCAAAUCACAGCGGCUGGCCCUUUGUUAAAUUAACCCAGCCAUACUUUCUGAUCAGACUUAAUUCUCUGAUUAUGGGAUGUUUGCAGAGUCCAGGCUCUGCUCAGCAGUAUCCCCCCUUUUAAUUUUAAUUAAGCUGGUUUAUUUCCUCAAUUGUCUUUCCAGCUUGCAGAAGCCUCACCAAUUCCAAGUCCUUUACCACUGACUUGCCUGUCCUCCAGCCAGCACACAGAAUUAAAACAAAGUUGUUAUUU
rnacentral:lncRNA from 1 species